rnacentral:rRNA from 1 species
UGACCUCGGAUCAGGUAGGAAUACCCGCUGAACUUAAGCAUAUCAAUAAGCGGAGGAAAAGAAACCAACAGGGAUUGCCUUAGUAACGGCGAGUGAAGCGGCAACAGCUCAAAUUUGAAAUCUGGCCCCCAGGCCCGAGUUGUAAUUUGUAGAGGAUGCUUCUGGCGACGCGCCUUCCGAGUUCCCUGGAACGGGACGCCAAAGAGGGUGAGA